rnacentral:rRNA from 1 species
AGAGUUUGAUCCUGGCUCAGGAUGAACGCUAGCGGCAGGCUUAACACAUGCAAGUCGAGGGGCAGCGGGGAGGAAGCUUGCUUUCUCCGCCGGCGACCGGCGCACGGGUGAGUAACACGUAUGCAACCUGCCCCUGUCAGGGGGACAACCCGCCGAAAGGCGGGCUAAACCCGCGUACAUGCCACCGGGGCAUCCCGGAGGCAGGAAAGGCUUCGGCCGGACAGGGAUGGGCAUGCGGCGCAUUAGGCAGUAGGCGGGGUAACGGCCCACCUAACCGACGAUGCGUAGGGGUUCUGAGAGGAAGGUCCCCCACACUGGUACUGAGACACGGACCAGACUCCUACGGGAGGCAGCAGUGAGGAAUAUUGGUCAAUGGUCGGGAGACUGAACCAGCCAAGCCGCGUGAGGGAGGAAGGUACAGAGUAUCGUAAACCUCUUUUGUCAGGGAACAAAGACUGGGACGCGUCCCCGGAUGAGUGUACCUGAAGAAAAAGCAUCGGCUAACUCCGUGCCAGCAGCCGCGGUAAUACGGAGGAUGCGAGCGUUAUCCGGAUUUAUUGGGUUUAAAGGGUGCGCAGGCGGUCUGUUAAGUCAGCGGUCAAAGCCCGGGGCUCAACCCCGGCCCGCCGUUGAAACUGGCAGUCUCGAGUUGGAGAGAAGUAUGCGGAAUGCGCGGUGUAGCGGUGAAAUGCAUAGAUAUCGCGCAGAACUCCGAUUGCGAAGGCAGCAUGCCGGCUCCACACUGACGCUGAGGCACGAAAGCGUGGGUAUCGAACAGGAUUAGAUACCCUGGUAGUCCACGCAGUAAACGAUGAAUGCGGGCUGUCCGGGGGGACUGACCCCUGGGUGGCGAAGCGAAAGCGAUAAGCAUUCCACCUGGGGAGUACGCCGGCAACGGUGAAACUCAAAGGAAUUGACGGGGGCCCGCACAAGCGGAGGAACAUGUGGUUUAAUUCGAUGAUACGCGAGGAACCUUACCCGGGCUCAAACGGGGAGUGGCGCAGGCAGAGACGCCUGUUUCCCACGGGACACUCCCCGAGGUGCUGCAUGGUUGUCGUCAGCUCGUGCCGUGAGGUGUCGGCUUAAGUGCCAUAACGAGCGCAACCCCCGCGUGCAGUUGCUAACAGUCAACGCUGAGGACUCUGCACGGACUGCCGGCGCAAGCCGCGAGGAAGGCGGGGAUGACGUCAAAUCAGCACGGCCCUUACGUCCGGGGCGACACACGUGUUACAAUGGGUGGUACAGCGGGAAGCCAGGCGGCGACGCCGAGCGGAACCCGAAAUCCACUCUCAGUUCGGAUCGGAGUCUGCAACCCGACUCCGUGAAGCUGGAUUCGCUAGUAAUCGCGCAUCAGCCAUGGCGCGGUGAAUACGUUCCCGGGCCUUGCACUCACCGCCCGUCA